CAGUCGUACUUGCGGAUAAUCAACCUUCAGAUGCGAUUUUGUGGAGCGUCAAGAGUUAAGCGCCUUCAUGCCUGCAUAUUCGUAUACUUUGGGUGUACUUAUUCGUGUGGUAAGUUAACAUCUAAUUUUGGUGGUCAAUAAAAUGACUGGAGGAAUGUAGCUUCGAUUC
rnacentral:rRNA from 1 species